rnacentral:rRNA from 1 species
GUAGGUGGCAAGCGUUGUCCGGAAUUAUUGGGCGUAAAGCGCGCGCAGGCGGUUUUUUAAGUCUGAUGUGAAAGCCCACGGCUCAACCGUGGAGGGUCAUUGGAAACUGGAGAACUUGAGUACAGAAGAGGAAAGCGGAAUUCCACGUGUAGCGGUGAAAUGCGUAGAGAUGUGGAGGAACACCAGUGGCGAGGGCGGCUUUCUGGUCUGUAACUGACGCUGAGGCGCGAAAGCGUGGGGAGCAAACAGGGAUUAGAUACCCUGGUAGUCCACGCCGUAAACGAUGAGUGCUAAGUGUUAGGGGGUUUCCCGCCCCUUAGUGCUGCAGCUAACGCAUUAAGCACUCCGCCUGGGGAGUACGGCCGCAAGGCUG